UGACGUGAGGGUGAUCUGGCGGUGAUGUCUGUAACCCUGCUGACCGCUAGUGUUAACUUAGUGGACCUGGCUUGAGGGCAGGUGUCCCCUUCCUCCCUCACCGCUCCUCCCUGGAGCUGAGGACCACAACCCCACAGGGAGGGUGUUCCUCCGUCAAGGGUACAUAAGCAGCUGCGCUCCCCUAGGCCCCCUACAUAAACUUUCAAAAAAUGCUACCAUCCUUACUCCUGUAAACUGGAUAUGUUA
rnacentral:sRNA from 1 species